rnacentral:rRNA from 1 species
ACGAACGCUGGCGGUGUGCUUCACACAUGCAAGUCGAACGGAGUAGCAAUACUCAGUGGCGGACGGGUGAGUAACACGUAGGAAUCUGCCCUCGGGAGGGGGAUAACUGGCUGAAAGGCCAGCUAAUACCCCAUACUCGUAUGUCUCGACAGGGAUAUACGUAAAAGGAGUAAUCCACCUGAGGAUGAGCCUGCGUCCGAUUAGCUAGUUGGUAGGGUAAUGGCCUACCAAGGCGACGAUCGGUAGCUGGUCUGAGAGGAUGAUCAGCCACAAUGGGACUGAGACACGGCCCAUACUCCUACGGGAGGCAGCAGUGGGGAAUUUUACGCAAUGGGCGAAAGCCUGACGUAGCGACACCGCGUGAGCGAAGAAGCCCUUUGGGGUGUAAAGCUCUGUCAGCUGGGACGAAAAAAAUGACGGUACCAGCAGAGGAAGCAUCGGCUAACUACGU